UCUCCGCAGGUGGAGGCUGACAAGCAGGGAGGCGCCUCUCGCAGGUGAUCUGCGUUCAGUCAUCAGCAGGGACGGUUCUUAAACAGGCUGCUGUCAGCACCUCAUAGCCAAAGUGUCAGCCUUAAGUGGUGGAACCUGCCUCGGAUCCCGCUCAUGAGAACCCUUUUCCUCGGCUGAGCCGGCCAGCUCUCGGCCCGCUCAGCUGCUUAGGAAGAAAACCUCAGAAAGUCCCGAUCAUCCUCGCAAGUCUCGGCGUCUACAGAGCGCCGAUCAGCUGACAGCCUCCCUGCCGCCGCCCCCGCUGCACGAGUGACCGGACCCUGCCCCGCCCCCUCGGACGCUGCCAUCUGUCAGCUACCGCACCCUCUAUGAUCACCAGAAUCCACCUAGAACCGACGAUCCGCUUGGCAGCCUCCGCCCCUGGUCCAGGCACCAGCAGCUUUUCAGUCUUUGGUGCCCCCGCAGCAGCCGAUCACUCCCCCGGUGAAUCAAUUAUAAUACCGCGAUUACCACCUCCCGCUGUUACCAGACGUCCGGAGGACUCACAACAGGUCUUGAGCUUUAUAUUUAAUAAAACUCUUAAAAACUCGGA